GAUGAACGCUGGCGGCGUGCCUAAUACAUGCAAGUCGAGCGAACGGACGAGAAGCUUGCUUCUCUGAUGUUAGCGGCGGACGGGUGAGUAACACGUGGAUAACCUACCUAUAAGACUGGGAUAACUUCGGGAAACCGGAGCUAAUACCGGAUAAUAUUUUGAACCGCAUGGUUCAAAAGUGAAAGACGGUCUUGCUGUCACUUAUAGAUGGAUCCGCGCUGCAUUAGCUAGUUGGUAAGGUAACGGCUUACCAAGGCAACGAUGCAUAGCCGACCUGAGAGGGUGAUCGGCCACACUGGAACUGAGACACGGUCCAGACUCCUACGGGAGGCAGCAGUAGGGAAUCUUCCGCAAUGGGCGAAAGCCUGACGGAGCAACGCCGCGUGAGUGAUGAAGGUCUUCGGAUCGUAAAACUCUGUUAUUAGGGAAGAACAUAUGUGUAGGUAACUGUGCACAUCUUGACGGUACCUAAUCAGAAAGCCACGGCUAACUACGUGCCAGCAGCCGCGGUAAUACGUAGGUGGCAAGCGUUAUCCGGAAUUAUUGGGCGUAAAGCGCGCGUAGGCGGUUUUUUAAGUCUGAUGUGAAAGCCCACGGCUCAACCGUGGAGGGUCAUUGGAAACUGGAAAACUUGAGUGCAGAAGAGGAAAGUGGAAUUCCAUGUGUAGCGGUGAAAUGCGCAGAGAUAUGGAGGAACACCAGUGGCGAAGGCGACUUUCUGGUCUGUAACUGACGCUGAUGUGCGAAAGCGUGGGGAUCAAACAGGAUUAGAUACCCUGGUAGUCCACGCCGUAAACGAUGAGUGCUAAGUGUUAGGGGGUUUCCGCCCCUUAGUGCUGCAGCUAACGCAUUAAGCACUCCGCCUGGGGAGUACGACCGCAAGGUUGAGACUCAAAGGAAUUGACGGGGACCCGCACAAGCGGUGGAGCAUGUGGUUUAAUUCGAAGCAACGCGAAGAACCUUACCAAAUCUUGACAUCCUUUGACAACUCUAGAGAUAGAGCCUUCCCCUUCGGGGGACAAAGUGACAGGUGGUGCAUGGUUGUCGUCAGCUCGUGUCGUGAGAUGUUGGGUUAAGUCCCGCAACGAGCGCAACCCUUAAGCUUAGUUGCCAUCAUUAAGUUGGGCACUCUAAGUUGACUGCCGGUGACAAACCGGAGGAAGGUGGGGAUGACGUCAAAUCAUCAUGCCCCUUAUGAUUUGGGCUACACACGUGCUACAAUGGACAAUACAAAGGGCAGCGAAACCGCGAGGUCAAGCAAAUCCCAUAAAGUUGUUCUCAGUUCGGAUUGUAGUCUGCAACUCGACUACAUGAAGCUGGAAUCGCUAGUAAUCGUAGAUCAGCAUGCUACGGUGAAUACGUUCCCGGGUCU
rnacentral:rRNA from 1 species